AAGUCGUAACAAGGUUUCCGUAGGUGAACCUGCGGAAGGAUCAUUAGCGAGAGCCUGCCGCAGACUCGUGCGAGUCUGUGCGCACGCGCGCCAUCCUUGUGUUGUGUGUGACGUGUUGUGUGCGCAAUGCCACUGUUGCCAAGGUGGCGGUGGCGUCUGCGCAUACGCAUUUUUUUCACUCCAUUUCAUCGCAUUUAUUCUAAUUACUGCUGCUCGCAUGAGCACAAACAACCGAAAACUGCCAGCAAUGGAUCACUCGGUUCUC
rnacentral:misc_RNA from 1 species